UACGAAGGGGGCUAGCGUUGUUCGGAAUUACUGGGCGUAAAGGGCGCGUAGGCGGUGUGUCAAGUCAGGCGUGAAAGCCCCGGGCUCAACCUGGGAACCGCGCUUGAGACUGGCACGCUCGAGUUCGGGAGAGGAUGGUGGAAUUCCCAGUGUAGAGGUGAAAUUCGUAGAUAUUCGGAAGAACACCGGUGGCGAAGGCGACUUACUGGACACAUAUUGACGCUGAGGUGCGAAAGCGUGGGGAGCAAACAGG
rnacentral:rRNA from 1 species